rnacentral:rRNA from 1 species
UAGGGAAUCUUCCACAAUGGACGCAAGUCUGAUGGAGCAACGCCGCGUGAGUGAAGAAGGUCUUCGGACCGUAAAGCUCUGUUGUUGGUGAAGAAGGAUAGAGGCAGUAACUGGUCUUUAUUUGACGGUAAUCAACCAGAAAGUCACGGCUAACUACGUGCCAGCAGCCGCGGUAAUACGUAGGUGGCAAGCGUUGUCCGGAUUUAUUGGGCGUAAAGCGAGCGCAGGCGGAAUGAUAAGUCUGAUGUGAAAGCCCACGGCUCAACCGUGGAACUGCAUCGGAAACUGUCAUUCUUGAGUGCAGAAGAGGAGAGUGGAACUCCAUGUGUAGCGGUGGAAUGCGUAGAUAUAUGGAAGAACACCAGUGGCGAAGGCGGCUCUCUGGUCUGCAACUGACGCUGAGGCUCGAAAGCAUGGGUAGCGAACAGGAUUAGAUACCCUGGUAGUCCAUGCCGUAAACGAUGAGCGCUAGGUGUUGGGGACUUUCCGGUCCUCAGUGCCGCAGCAAACGCAUUAAGCGCUCCGCCUGGGGAGUACGACCGCAAGGUUGAA